rnacentral:tRNA from 1 species
GACCACGUAGCUCAGUUGGCAGAGCAUUUGACUUUUAAUCAAAGGGUCGAAGGUUCAAAUCCUUCCGUGGUCA